GCCCAGUAGGCUGUCCCCUCUCUUACCUGGGUAGCGGGAGACGUGAGGGGUUUUGUGGGAGAUCUUAUUGUUGGUAAAGUGGGGUACUUCUGUCCCCUGAGCCACUGAUAUCUGGGACCUUUUAACCUGGGCAAUCAUUGCUGCUGAGUCUAAGCAGGUGAGAUCACCACAGAAAAUAUUGGUCUUUGUGAUAUGUUGUCUGAGGCCCAACUCAAGUGACAAAACCAAACCAGGAAAGCUGGUACAAGGAAGGCCCUGGUGCCCUAAUCUCAAGUGAACAGGGAGCAAAGGGACAGAGAAGACUUCAAUCUGUGCUUUGGUUCUUUCUUUUGCUCUAU